UAUAUGUCUGCAAGUUUGGUUGGCAGUUUCCCUUAUUACAGAUGCGUUGGCUGCAUCUGGUCAGGCGUUGAUUGCUAGUUCGGUUUCAAAAGGGAAUUAUAGAUCUGUGAAGGAUAUCACAUACUUCGUGUUGACUAUUGGUUUUGUGAUGGGUGUUACUUUGGCUGCAAUAUUGGGAGUUUCAUUUGGUUCCAUAGUCACACUGUUCACUAAGGACAUUGGAGUAUUGGCGAUUGCUAGAACCGGGGUUUUGUUUGUGAGUGCUAGUCAGCCUUUGAAUGCUUUUGCUUUUAUUGUUGAUGGUUUGCAUUAUGGAGUUUCAGACUUCCCGUAUGCUGCUUAUUCCAUGGUAUGCUUUUUUUUAGACAUGAAUAUAAAAUUACAUAUUUGCCCUUGGAUUAAUAUGUUUUCACUGUAGAUGCUUGUUGGGAUUUUAUCGUCUGUAAUUGCAACUUGUUAUGAGAUGGCCAAAACCAUUGCAUUUUGCAAUAGUUGAUGAACUUGAUUAUGUCCUAAUUGAUGAGGGAAGAAACCCAUUGCUGAUAAGGGGUGAGGCUAGCAAGGAUGCUGCACGUAACACAGUUGCUGCUAAAGUAGCUGAGCUUCUCAUGCGUGGCCUCGUAUUUUACUUUUUUGCCCUUCUUUUUCCUUUUUGAUGUCUUGUUAUCCAUCUCCAUUGUAUGCGUAUCUCAUUGUUUGUUCCACUACACAUCAUGUAAAUUUAUAUAUUGUAACAAAUAGAAUUGUAAGACAUUAAAUUUUAU